UGUGUGUGUGUGUGUGUGUGAGAGAGAGAGAGAGAGAGAGAGAGAGAGAGAGAGAGAGAGAGAGAGAGAGAGAGAGAAUAUGUAUAAUUGGUUGUGGCAUGUGAAGUAAAAUGAGUUGAGGAGCCGAGACGCUUUAUUAACACCGGACACAUUUCCUUUCGGCUCCCCUGAGUUCUUCGGACUUUAAAACACCUAAAUUUCAUUAAUAUCACAGAGACAGGAGCCAUAACUGUGAUUUAUGUCCUCCCUCCUUCCUCCCGAGAACGAAAGAGCGGGCCCGAAAUGAAGGGAAAGGUGAUUCAUCAUUGGACUACGACAGCUGCAAACUGGAUUAGUCCUCCCCCAAUCAACAUGCAAAAGCAGCUUAGCCAAGGUGAGUCUGUGCAGGUGACGCACAAACAGACGCACAAACCUAACAAGUAAAGACAGUCGCUUCAGCAGAGAAAGAAGAAGUGCACACUUUGAUGUUCACGUUUCAAUUCAGCCUGCAUCGAGUGCCGCCUUUACAGGAACAAAGCACCGUGUCAUCAAAAAAAAUAAAUAAAGGCCAAGCGCACGUCACUCAUGACUGUUUGCGCUCAGUUUUUUUUGG